CCGCCUGGGGAGUACGAUCGCAAGAUUAAAACUCAAAGGAAUUGACGGGGCCCCGCACAAGCAACGGAGCAUGCGGCUUAAUUCGACGCAACGCGAAGAACCUUACCAAGGCUUGACAUGUACAGGAAUAUGGCAGAGAUGUCAUAGCCGCAAGGUCUGUAUACAGGUGGUGCAUGGUUGUCGUCAGCUCGUGUCGUGAGAUGUUGGGUUAAGUCCCGCAACGAGCGCAACCCUCGUUCUGUGUUGCCAGCAUUAAGUUGGGGACUCACAGGAGACUGCCGGGGUUAACUCGGAGGAAGGUGGGGAUGACGUCAAAUCAUCAUGCCCCUUAUGUCUUGGGCUGCACGCAUGCUACAAUGGCUGGUACAAACGGCUGCGAUACCGCAAGGUGGAGCGAAUCCGAUAAAGCCAGUCUCAGUUCGGAUUGGGGUCUGCGACUCGACCCCAUGAAGUCGGAGUUGCUAGUAAUCGUAGAUCAGCAACGCUACGGUGAAUACGUUCCCGGGGCUUGUACACACCGCCCGUCACAUCACGAAAGUCGGUAACACCCAAAGUCAGUGCCC
rnacentral:rRNA from 1 species